GCAGCAUGAGGAAUCCAUUAUCAGAGCCCACAGUUAACAGAAAAUGGCGCUCUAACCAAAAGACUACAAUUCCCGGCAUGCCGUUACUCAGCCUCGGCAGGAAGUGACGAUGUAAUGGUCAGGGUAUUAAGCUUCUGGUUUCCUGUUGUUCGCCACGUGAGACUAUAGCACAUCGAGGUCGCCUGUGGUAGGGUGCGGUGCAUAGAGCGGCAGUGUCGGAGUCUGUGUGCAGUAGAGGCUAAUUUCCCGCGAUUUCUGUGAUGCAGGACUGUGAUAUGUGCGCCUCACAGAAAAGCUAUAGAAUGUCUUACGUCUGACACCGGCUGCUAAAAGAAUGUCUUGCCUGUGACACAUGAUGCUAAAAGGUCUCCAUUCUGAAUACAGUAGAAAGGUAUGUUAAAGAAUCAUCAACACACAUGGGCUAAAUUGUGUGUCCACCAUUACACUACAGUAAUGUUCUAAUUCCAUGCAAAAAAUAUCUGAAAGUAGUGUGCCUAUAAAACAUAACUUGUUAUACACCAAAAUAUUCCACAAAAAAUGUAAUUUUCAUCACAAAAAUAAAUUGUGUACACACAAGAAUUCGUCAAAUCAUUCUUGUUUAAUAUCACACUCAGCCCUAUGGAAAGGGUGAACUCCCGCACAAACAUCUUAACUGGAUUCUGGAGUUUCUCAUUUUGUGAGGAAAGAAGGCUCCCUCUGUUCUCAAUCAGCAACCUUUGAAGCAAUCACUGGGUGCUGAGGGCUGCAAUACUGCUCUCUACAGAACCUGUUCAGUUCCUGCAGGAGUUUGAGUCCGUCAGCAGAACAGAGGUGCAUACAUUGUAGUUCAGUACGUAGUGGGAUUUAUUUACUAAAGUGAUCCUGACUCUCUUUUAUCGGGUUUUUUGUCCAAAUUGUGUCGCAGGUUCCAUGCGACACAAUUUGCAACAAAAAAACCUCCAUUUUACAAGAAAAAAAACAAAAUGGGGCAUGGCCAUGGGAGAAAGGGGGCGUGACCCUUACCAUUUCCAAAAAUCCCAACAUAUUUACUAAAGUUUCCACAGAAAAUGUGGUGGAUUUGAGCUGGGAAAAACUGACAGAUCAGAACAGUUGUUUAAAAAAAAAAAAAAAAAAUAUA